rnacentral:tRNA from 1 species
GCGCGUAGCUUAGUGGUUAAGGCAUACGGGUCACGAUCGUAAGGUCGUGAGUUCAAUUCUCAGCGACGCA